rnacentral:rRNA from 1 species
GGACCCGCACAAGUAGUGGAGCAUGUGGUUUAAUUCGAUGAUACGCGAGGAACCUUACCAGGGCUUAAAUGUAAGUUGCAUAAGCUAGAGAUAGCUUUUUCUUCGGACUACUUACAAGGUGCUGCAUGGUUGUCGUCAGCUCGUGCCGUGAGGUGUCAGGUUAAGUCCUAUAACGAGCGCAACCCCUGUUGUUAGUUGCCAUCGAGUAAUGUCGGGAACUCUAACAAGACUGCCGGUGCAAACCGUGAGGAAGGUGGGGAUGACGUCAAAUCAUCACGGCCCUUACGUCCUGGGCUACACACGUGCUACAAUGGCCGGUACAGAGAGCAGCCACUACGCGAGUAGGAGCGAAUCUCAAAAAGCUGUCUCAGUUCGGAUUGUUGUCUGCAACUCGACAACAUG